rnacentral:rRNA from 1 species
AAUUUUGGACAAUGGGGGAAACCCUGAUCCAGCCAUCCCGCGUGUGCGAUGAAGGCCUUCGGGUUGUAAAGCACUUUUGUCAGGGAAGAAAUCGUGCAGGCUAAUACCCUGUGCGGAUGACGGUACCUGAAGAAUAAGCACCGGCUAACUACGUGCCAGCAGCCGAGGUAAUACGUAGGGUGCAAGUGUUAAUCGGAAUUACUGGGUGGAAAGGGUGCGCAGGCGGUUUAUCAAGAAAUGUGUUAAAUCCCCGGGCUUAACCUGGGAAUUGCACUUUUAACUGAUAGGCUAGAGUAUGUCAGAGGGGGGUAGAAUUCCACGUGUAGCAGUGAAAUGCGUAGAGAUGUGGAGGAAUACCGAUGGCGAAGGCAGCCCCCUGGGAUAAUACUGACGCUCAUGCACGAAAGCGUGGGGAGCAAACA